UACGUAGGGGGCAAGCGUUAUCCGGAAUUAUUGGGCGUAAAGCGCGCGCAGGCGGUCCUUUAAGUCUGAUGUGAAAGCCCACGGCUCAACCGUGGAGGGUCAUUGGAAACUGGGGGACUUGAGUGCAGAAGAGGAGAGCGGAAUUCCACGUGUAGCGGUGAAAUGCGUAGAGAUGUGGAGGAACACCAGUGGCGAAGGCGGCUCUCUGGUCUGUAACUGACGCUGAGGCGCGAAAGCGUGGGGAGCGAACAGG
rnacentral:rRNA from 1 species